GUCUGACGGAGCAACGCCGCGUGAGUGAUGAAGGUUUUCGGAUCGUAAAACUCUGUUGUUAGGGAAGAACAAGUACCGUUCGAAUAGGGCGGUACCUUGACGGUACCUAACCAGAAAGCCACGGCUAACUACGUGCCAGCAGCCGCGGUAAUACGUAGGUGGCAAGCGUUGUCCGGAAUUAUUGGGCGUAAAGCGCGCGCAGGCGGUUUCUUAAGUCUGAUGUGAAAGCCCCCGGCUCAACCGGGGAGGGUCAUUGGAAACUGGGGAACUUGAGUGCAGAAGAGGAGAGUGGAAUUCCACGUGUAGCGGUGAAAUGCGUAGAGAUGUGGAGGAACACCAGUGGCGAAGGCG
rnacentral:rRNA from 1 species